AACGAACGCUGGCGGCAGGCCUCAUACAUGCAAGUCGAGCGAUUAAGACUCCUUCGGGAGUGUAUAAAGCGGCGAACGGGUGAGUAACAGGUGGAUGAUCUACCUUCCGGUGGGGGAUAACGGCUGGAAACGGCCGCUAAUACCGCAUUCGGUUAAUACGCUGCGGCGUAUUAAAGAAAGGCGCUUCAAAGCGCCGCCGGGAGAUGAGUCCGCCCCCCAUUAGCUAGUUGGUGAGAUAACAGCUCACCAAGGCAACGAUGGGUAGCCGAACUGAGAGGUUGAUCGGCCACACUGGAACUGAGACACGGUCCAGACACCUACGGGUGACAGCAGUAGGGAAUAUUGGGCAAUGGGCGAAAGCCUGACCCAGCCAUGCCGCGUGAGUGAUGAAGGUCCUAGAGAUUGUAAAACUCUUUUCUGUAGGAAAGAAUAAAAUAGGGAAGGAAAUAGGUCCUUAUUUUGUACGGUACCUCAGGAAUAAGGAACGGCUAACUCCGUGCCAGCAGCCGCGGUAAACG
rnacentral:rRNA from 1 species